rnacentral:lncRNA from 1 species
GUCAGCGUGUAACCUUAUGUAACUCUUUAUAUGUAUAGCAUUUUUGAUGUAUUUCUUGUCAGUAUUCCUUCCGCCAGCCAACAAGCUUGCAUAUAUGUUGGUCUUGAGGUCAUUGCUUAUGACAUGCAUCAUAUAGAUAGAUACAUGCAGUCUACUGUAUACAUACAAGUACAACGUUAUCGGUUAUCCGCCUGGCCAGCUCAUCUUGUCGAUCUGAUAGCUUACGAAAAUCAAAUGCUGCACUGCUUCUAUCUCACUUGAGCUGUACAGUCGAUUGUACUGUACGUGUAAUUAAUAUUCUCCCAUCUCUGACGAAGCUUCUCAAGUUCUGACUGACUAAACCUCUUGUCUGAUCAACAUCCGUCGUUGCUUUCGUUUAAACAAAUCUCAGCAGCGUCAGUCCAGGCGGUGUGAAAAGCAUGAAACAUCCGCAGAUCCUUUCCUUGGAGAAGAGGGGUACGUGCUGCCCGCCAUCUCUGACCUGACCAUGCACAACCAGUCAAUCAACACUCUUCUCCAAGCCAUAUAAAUACAACACCUAGCAGCGAGUAACUCAGAG